CGCGGGCAGCAGCGCCGUGCCCAGCGCGCCCCGGCCGGAGCCGCCGCGGGCGGGCAGAGGAGCGGGGAGCGGGCAGUCAGCAGACAUGCAUCAUUCAUGUGACAUGCACCGCUUGACCACGGAAAGCAUUUUCAGUCUUGGACAGAGGAGCAUCCUGAAAAGAGUAUUCAUGCCAAGAAAAAGAGACUAAUUUUAUUUUGCUGAAUCAUCAAAUCUCUCAGAAAAAAAUUACAAGCUUCAUCCUGCAACAAACUACAGAUGGACAGACCACAUAGGGAAUUGCUCCUACACAGGGAUUUUUUCAUGCCAAUGCCUAGGUUGGUGCUAUCAGUGAAGCAGAGCAUCCCCAGCUCCUGAGGCUCUGAGCUCCUCUGCCAGUGCUGGGUUGUCAUUUGGAGUGAAAGCCUGUGCAUCCCAGAGCUACUUGGGAAGGGGGAAUGUGCUUCUGUGCAUACAGUCAUUGCUAAAUCUGGUGCAUUUGCUUGGAUAUCGAGCUGAGUUUCCAUUGAAGAGGGGCACGAACAGCAUCAGCACGAAUUAAGUUCUCAAAAUAAAUCAAAUAUUUAUGAGAAAAUAAAUGGACACUACUUUGUCUUGUUUGAUGCUACUACAGGAUGGACCCACAAGAACAGUGUGGAGGAGAGAGUGAUUUUCCUGCAGUAGGAUGGCUAAUAAAUCAAGGGCCACACAACCUGGACCAAAUUCAAACCACUGUAGGCUCUUCCCUUGUAUUACUGCCAAACCUUGAGCCACCCAUUCUUCUCUGUCUCACCCCCCAAAAAUAUGUUUAGAUUCCAAACACAAAGCUUAGUUGUUUAUUAAGGAAGUGGUUAUGAUGGGGAAAUAAUGCUGCUAUGGAGGAAAGAGCAGGAGGGUUUUACAAGAUGCAGUAGAAUUUAUCAUCAUCUCCUCCAGAUCAACUCCCUCGCCCCUCUGUUCUUUUUUUCUCUUUUGCUUUAAUUCCUAUUGAAGUCACUUCUCUGGCUGUGGACAGGAUGGUAUGCAAAACCCACACAGGAUGACUGCAUUGUAUUGAUAUCAUGAAAAAAGAUCAACUUUCCUUUUAUUCAUAACCCUCUGAGACCUCUGAUUAAACAUGUGGCCUCGUUUAACCUCUGCUUUAUUCUCUCAGUGCAGCUGGUGUAAUUACAAACCAAACAUAUUCUACACCCUGUUGUAGUGAAUUGAUGUAUCUCCUGUUAAACAAAAUAAAGU